UCGGUUAGGUUGGUGUGCUGUGCUCUCUCGUGAAUCUGCGCGACCGUUGUGUGCGUGCGCGCAUACGCCAGCUUGCCACGCGAGAUAUACCACGUUGCACGUCUUCGAGGCUUGUGCUUUAUAUUGAUUGACAAAUGCGAGGUUGUCGCUUUUUGGCCGUAUCGAACGCUCUUUGGUCGCUACGAGAUCGCUGCUAAUGCAUUGCUGAAUUAUAAAUUAUUCGCCAGAACAUGCAGGCUGAUCGACGUGUAACAGGAUCCAUGUAAUCGUGUAUCGCUUUGAGCUAUCAUGCGAGACCGUCACUUGUCUAAAUGCAACGCGAUGAAACUGUCGUCAUCGAAACUCACAGCCAUCACUCGACAUCCUUCUGCAUAAACGUAUGACGAUACGCUCGAGUGAAUGAAAAAUUCGAUAACGGGAGAUCGUUUUCCAUCGAAAAGAAUAUCGUGGAGACAGGAACGACAAAACGCGAAAAAGGUUAUCUGACCCCCGCGAAUCGAACACGACGCGAGCGAGUGAGCGAGCGCGUUCUCUUUCAAAAGACGAUCGCGCGUUCCGAAUGCAUCAUAUGCGUGUUGACGAUAGCCGACUAUCGAGUGUGCAUCGGUUGGCGUUCAAAAGGGUAUAGAAUCCUGAAGUUAGAUGCUUUAGGCAGUGACGUCAAGACGCUCGUAAUUCGCGCGUGCAUGAAGACGACCCUCCUCAACGGGCGGUGUGCGCGGCGGGAGAGAUAGAUCGUCUUCGACGUAAGCUGGCGUUGAUGUGACCUAGCCUAACUUUCGCUCGGUACACCGGUGCCGAACUCCACCUGAUCUUCGUCCACCCUCCUGUUAUCGCGUGUGUGUGUCUGUGUGCGCGCGCGCGCCCGCGCGUUCGACCGUUCCUGCACCGUGUCCGUCGGAUGAGUAUAACUUCGCAUAGUUGAGAAGCAUUCGGGAUGAUGCUGUUAAUGAAGUUUUAUUUUUAUUUAAAUCGUCAUAUGUCUCCCAAUUUCCCGUUACUCGACGGCAGUGAGCUAUGUAAUGCCCAAUGUCAUUUUUAUUAGUGCCACCAAUAUAUUCGAUUGCUGCUACUAAUUUAUAUGUGCAUUUGCAGAACUGUAUGUCUAAUAGUAUCUCAGACAGAGUAAGCGUACCGGACCAAUCGAUAUAUCCAAGUCUGCAAGCAAGAUCAGUCCAUUGCAGACAUUCAAGGUCUACAAAGAGAUGCGGCCCUGUUGUAAAAUUUGUAAUUAAAUUUUCAUUGCCACAUCUUUUACAUUUUUUAUUUAUGUCUUCGAUUCUUUGAUUAAUCGCUAUUUGCAAACCGCGCAUACUAUUUUCAUAUAUCGGUUUAGGGUUCAUUUCUAAUACCUUGAUACUUUUGUGAUCCAUCCAUUUACAUGUUGAGCAUUCUUGAGACACAUUAUACGAGAAUGAAUUUUCCAUUAAAUAUUUGUCUAUUAACUGACUUACGUUACA